rnacentral:rRNA from 1 species
AUUGAACGCUGGCGGCAUGCCUUACACAUGCAAGUCGAACGGCGGCACGGGAGCAAUCCUGGUGGCGAGUGGCGAACGGGUGAGUAAUAUAUCGGAACGUGCCCAGUCGUGGGGGAUAACGCAGCGAAAGCUGUGCUAAUACCGCAUACGAUCUAAGGAUGAAAGCGGGGGAUCGCAAGACCUCGCGCGAUUGGAGCGGCCGAUAUCAGAUUAGCUAGUUGGUGGGGUAAAGGCCCACCAAGGCGACGAUCUGUAGCUGGUCUGAGAGGACGACCAGCCACACUGGGACUGAGACACGGUCCAGACUCCUACGGGAGGCAGCAGUGGGGAAUUUUGGACAAUGGGCGCAAGCCUGAUCCAGCAAUGCCGCGUGCAGGAUGAAGGCCUUCGGGUUGUAAACUGCUUUUGUACGGAACGAAACGGCCCUUUCUAAUACAAAGGGCUAAUGACGGUACCGUAAGAAUAAGCACCGGCUAACUACGUGCCAGCAGCCGCCGUAAAAC